rnacentral:rRNA from 1 species
CCUACGGGAGGCAGCAGUGAGGAAUAUUGGUCAAUGGCCGCAGGGCUGAACCAGCCAAGUCGCGUGAGGGAUGACGGUCCUAUGGAUUGUAAACCUCUUUUGUCAGGGAGCAAAGUGCGCCACGUGUGCUGUUUUGUGUGUACCUUAAGAAUAAGCAUCGGCUAACUCCGUGCCAGCAGCCGCGGUAAUACGGAGGAUGCGAGCGUUAUCCGGAUUUAUUGGGUUAAAGGGGUGCGCAGGGGGAAUUUCAAGUCAGCGGGAAAAUUUCUGGGCUCAACCCUGUAGUGCCGUUGAAACUGGCGGUCUUGAGUGUGUGAGAGGUAGGCGGAAUGCGUGGUGUAGCGGUGAAAUGCAUAGAUAUCACGCAGAACUCCGAUUGCGAAGGUAGCAUACCGGGGCACAACUGACGCUGAUGCACGAAAGCGUGGGUAUCAAACAGGAUUAGAUACCCGUGUAGUC